AGUUACAAAUCAGCUAAUGAUAGUAAAAGGUUAAGUGUCACAAGUUGAACAUUUCUGGUUGUGUCUCACGGACAAUCCUUAUACACAUAUAUUCAAGUUUAGCAAGGUUUAUUUUACUAUGUGUUUUUUUUUUUGUUUGUUUUUUUGAAUACCUAAAUGAACUACCCAGCUGGGCUGUUCAUUUGAUCCAUCCUGUGUGUGAAGGUGCCACAGUGAUGAUGUCAUGACCAAGAACUUCAUGUCUACUGAAAUUACGCUCCCCUAAGGGCCGCUUCCGACAAGAAACCACGUUCAACGGCAAGGAAAAGAAGCAAAACACAAGUGGAUCUUGGGUGUGGCUUUCCACCGCUGGAGACAGCUCUUGACAAGUAAAGAGAUGCUGAUGCUAAGCUCGCAACUUUCUCCCACCAAGCCUGCAGAGUGUACAGACACUGUGAGGAGGGUCUAGUAUCUGCGGAUGGAGCUGUGUGCGGCCACCACCUUUGAAACUGAUGGGAGCUUCCUGCAUAACUUUCACCUGACUGAGCUACUAAUAAAACGAUGUGAUGUCUCCUUCCACCUGCCUCAGCUCCUUGAAGACCCCAAAAGGCAAAUAGUAGAGCAGUGGAAAGAUGUUGAUGAGUACUGCAGGGCUGUUCACACAG